rnacentral:lncRNA from 1 species
UGUGAUAUCCGAGGGUGGUAUAGCUAUCGACCUGAGGAAAGUUGAGGCAAUUAAACAUUGGCCUUGCCCGACGAGUGUUGUGGAGAUUCGUUGCCACUAUCGAUAGCAAACGGGCUCCUUUGCCACCCAUUUAUUUUCGAUGAUGGAGCCUCCAAAUCGACGAUCGACACCGUUGAACAUGAUCUAUACCACUUGAAGGGUUUAGAAAUCAAAUUUCAUACAUUUUCGAUAUUGUUCUCUUAUUCAUCGAGUGGACACAAAAAUGAACGGUUGAAAAUGAAUAUUCUUUAAAAAAUGAUGAUAGAAGACUUGUAAUCAAGAUCAAGAGUAUAGAUCUUGUUUUAAAUAGUUUAAAGAAUUUUCUAACAAAAAUUCAAUUGAUUUGGAUAUCUUUACACCGUUAAACGAGAAACGCCUCAUAUCGAUCAUUAAAAUUACAAAAUUUGAAACCCUUUGAUCAUUAGACAAAUGAUGUCGAAAAGAUUUGAAAUUUGAUUUCUAAACACUUCAAGUGGUAUAGAUCAUGGUCAACGAUAUCGAUUGACGAUUUGAAUGCUCUAUCAUUGAAAAUAAAUAGGUGGCAACGAAGCCCGUUUGCUAUUGAUACUAUUCUGGCUCAUAAGAGUAUAGUAGCCAAACUAUAUAUAUAUANCUAACCAUAUAUUUUUUAAUCUAAAGGCUAAAAACAUACAAGCACCAAUGUCUUGGUACUUUCAAAAGCAUAGGAGCUCAAUUAUAUAUAUAUAUAUAUAUAGUCUGGCUACUAUACUCUUAUGAGUACGAUCGCCCUCGUACUUAUAAGUCGUUUUUAAUGAUAGAGCUUCCGAAUCGACGAUCAAUACCGUUAAACAUUAUCUAGAGUAUUUAAAACUUCUAGAAAUUAAAUUUUAUAAUUUUUUGACAUCAUUUACCUUACGAUCGAAAGGUCACAAAAUUGACAAUUUUUAACGGCCGGUAUGGGAUAUUUGCUAGUUUAACGGCGUAAAGAAUUGGAAUCGGUUGAAUUUUUGAUAGAAAAUUUUAUUCACUACCUAGAUCUAGAUCAAUAACUCCGAUCUUAAAUUGAAGGAUUUUUAGGACGUCGUUCGAUUUCGAUUGUUCAUUUUAUACCCGUUUGAUGGACUUUAUUAUGAUUUCAAAAAAUUACGAAAUUUAUUUUCUAGAAGCUUCAAAUACUCUAGAUCAUAUUUAACGGAGUGGAUCGUCGAUUCGGAAGCUCCAUCAUCGAAAACAACUUAUGAGUACGAAGGACUCUAUACUCAUAAGAGUAUAGUAGCCCUACUAUAUAUAUAUAUAUAUAUAUAUAUAUAUAUAUAUAUAUAUAUAUAAA